rnacentral:rRNA from 1 species
CGAACGGAGCUUUGUAUUCGUACGAAGCUUAGUGGCGAACGGGUGAGUAACGCGUUGGUGACCUGCCCCGAAGAGAGGGACAACAGCUCGAAAGGGCUGCUAAUACCUCAUGUGGUCGUAAGGGUUAGAGGCCUUACGUCUAAAUGGAGUAAUCCGCUUCGGGAGGGGCCUGCGUCCCAUCAGCUUGUUGGUAGGGUAACGGCCUACCAAGGCGACGACGGGUAGGGGACCUGAGAGGGUGACCCCCCACACUGGCACUGAAACACGGGCCAGACACCUACGGGUGGCAGCAGUAGGGAAUAUUGCACAAUGGGCGAAAGCCUGAUGCAGCAACGCCGCGUGCACGAUGAAGGCCUUCGGGUCGUAAAGUGCUUUUCGGGGAGAUGAGGAAGGACAGUAUCCCCGGAAUAAGGAUCGGCUAACUACGUGCCAGCAGCCGCGGUAAAACGUAGGAUCCGAGCGUUAUCCGAAUUUACUGGGCGUAAAGCGCGUGUAGGCGGUUCGGUAAGUUGGAUGUGAAAUCUCCUGGCUCAACUGGGAGAGGUCGUUCAAUACUGUCGGACUAGAGGGUGGUAGAGGGAGGUGGAAUUCCCGGUGUAGUGGUGAAAUGCGUAGAUAUCGGGAGGAACACCAGUGGCGAAAGCGGCCUCCUAGACCGCUCCUGACGCUCAGACGCGAAAGCUAGGGGAGCAAACGGGAUUAGAAACCCCGGUAGUCCUAGCUGUAAACGAUGUGGACUUGGCGUUGGUGGGGUAAAAGCCAUCAGUGCCGAAGCUAACGCGAUAAGUCCACCGCCUG